CUUUAAAUUCUUCGGGAAUGUCAUUUACAUUAGAUUUUGGCACCGUGAUUCUUUUAGUGCUCUUCGUCAACUUUUCUCUAAUAUUUGACAGUUAAAUUUCAUGGUCAGGACCACAAUCUGCUCCUGGUCCUGUUUUGGCAGAGAAAAUACAGCUUCUCCAUCUCCUGCUUUCACUUACGUAGUCUAUUUGAUUUCUAUAUUAUCCAUCUGGUGAUGUCCAUGUAGACAGUUGCCUGUUCAGUCGCUUUAAGCAUGUUUUUGCAAUGGACAGAUUGUCGGCUUCACAUAAAUCCGUGAGCCAGUCUCCUGCUUUGUUUCUGACCCCUUGACCGAAUUUUCUGCCAAUGUUUGAUUCCAUUUUAUUUCUUGCUUUUGUGUUCCAGUCACCUCUAAUUAUUAGCAUACCUUGUUUUACUGUAUGAUCAAUUUCUUCCAGGACACUUGAAUAAAAACUUUCAAUUUUAUCUUCUUCAGCAUCUGUGGUUGGAGCAUAGACUUGGGUGAUGGCUAUGUUAAUAGGUUUUCCCAGACGUCUGAUUAACAUUACUUGGUCAACCUUGCAUUGGAUCCCUAACUGCCUGUGCUACAUCUGGCCUCAGUAUUAGAGCCACUCUGUUUCUUUUGAGUUUGUCGUUUCCUGGGUAGAAGACUUUAUAGUGGUCUGAUUAAAAGUGUCUCGUUCUAGUCCAUUUUAGUUCACUAACACCAAGCACUGCAAUAUUUAAACAUUCCACUUCUUGCUUUACAAUUUCCAGUUUACCUUGGCUCAUGCUUCUCACACUGCAUGUUCCAAUUGCGUGUGUUGUACACCAUCAGACUUUCCUUUAACCCUCGUGCACUUCAGCAGCUAGAUAUCCUUCCAGCUUUAGUCUAAUUGCACAUUAACAAGACUGCUGUUCUUUUUCUUUUUUAAAGAUUGGCACCUGAGCUAACAACUGUUGCCAAUCUUUUCUUUUUUUUUUUUUCUGCUUUAUCUCCCGAAAUCCCCCCAAUACAUAGUUGUAUAUCUUAGUUGCAGGUCCUUCUAGUUGUGGCAUGUGGGUCACCGCCUCAACAUGGCCUGACGAGCAUGCCAUGUCCAUGCCCAGGAUCCGAACCAGUGAAACCGUGGGCUUCCGCAGCGGAGCACGUCAGCUUAACCACUCGGCCACGGGGCGGCCCCCAACACGCCAUUCUUAUUUGUUCUUUGCUCUUCCCCAGUAAGAGUGUGAGUGCCUUCGGACCUGGAGGUCUCAUCUCCCAGCAUUAUCUCAUAUUUCACUUUGGACUGUUUCAUCACAGGUUUCUCAAGAUCAAAAAAGCUAAAAAAGGAAAAAUAUAGCAGCGGUUUACCGUCAUCUUCUGCUGUACAGUGUGUGAGUCCAAACCACAUGUGCUCUGGCCCGUACUGUGAAAAUCACCAAACACCUAAGAUGAACUGUAUCCCACUCUAAAUUCAGCUACUUAUUGACCCAUAUUUGACACUUCAUCUCUAGUACACUUACAGCAUCAACAUACAAGACAGUUGUCUACAUGCUGUGCAUUCUGCCUAAGACCACAUGUGAACUGCAAAGCAAAAACCUGUCAAACACUGACAUACUAGUAUUACCCAUUUCCAUCUAGCUUCUACAGAGGAGAAAAGAGGUGAAUCAAGUAUUCCGUCUUUCCCUCAUCAAAUGUUCAUUGAGCACUUCCUAUAUUUCAACUACUAGAAAAAUUUUCUUCUUAAGAGAGUUACUUAGAGGUUAUCAAAUGGAAUCAGAUACAUAGGCACUGGGCUUGGAUGAGACAGCCCAUAGAGAACUUGUAGACAUUGCCUUUCAACUUUGGUUGCACAUCAAUAAUUUUCUUGAGCUUUUGCAACUACACUUCCUGGAGUCCCAUCCAAGAGUUACUACAUAAAAAUUUCUGAGAAUGGGGGUCAAACAAGUUAUUUGAAAAGUCCUGCAGAGGAUAAUAUUUCCAGCAAUUGUAAAGGACCGCUGUGUAGAGAAAAAUAAGAAGAGAGAGAUUAAUCCACUUCGAACACCAGUAAUUAAGUGGGUGAUUGUAUGGUGAGGAUGAAGAUGAAACUGGGAAGGAACAAUGAAGUGAAAGAAAGAGAACUUGAGAGAAUGGAAUCCUAACAAAGCAAGAAGGUCAAAAGUUUCAAAAAUGAAUAGUGAUAAAAAAUAUAUCUUGCAGAGAAUCCAAGAAUUAUGACAAUAAAAUAUAGGUUAAGG
rnacentral:lncRNA from 1 species